rnacentral:rRNA from 1 species
UACGGAGGGUGCGAGCGUUGUCCGGAAUCACUGGGCGUAAAGGGCGCGUAGGUGGCGCGGGCAGUCAACGGUGAAAGUUCGGGGCUCAACCCUGAAUCGGCCGUCGAUACUCCCGGGCUUGAGCACUGUAGAGGCAGAUGGAAUUCCGGGUGUAGCGGUGGAAUGCGUAGAGAUCCGGAAGAACACCGGUGGCGAAGGCGGUCUGCUGGCGAGUGAGCUGACACUGAGGCGCGACAGCGUGGGGAGCAAACAGG